CUACGGGAGGCACCAGUGAGGAAUUUUGCGCAAUGGGGGGAACCCUGACGCAGCAACGCCGUGUGAGUGAAGAAGGCCUUUGGGUCGUAAAGCUCUGUCAACUGGGAAGAAGUUACUGUGCUUUAAUAGAGUGCAGUAUUGACGGUACCAGUGGAGGAAGCGUCGGCUAACUCCGUGCCAGCAGCCGCGGUAACACGGGGGACGCAAGCGUUAUUCGGAAUUAUUGGGCGUAAAGGGCGCGUAGGCGGUCUUGUCGGUCAGGUGUGAAAGCCCGGGGCUCAACCCCGGACGUGCACUUGAAACAGCAAGACUUGAGUACGGGAGAGGAAAGCGGAAUUCCUGGUGUAGAGGUGAAAUUCGUAGAUAUCAGGAGGAACACCGAUGGCGAAGGCAGCUUUCUGGACCGAAACUGACGCUGAGGCGCGAAGGCGUGGGUAGCGAACGGGAUUAGAUACCCCUGUAGUC
rnacentral:rRNA from 1 species